rnacentral:misc_RNA from 1 species
GUAGGUGAACCUGCGGAAGGAUCAUUAAUGAAAACGAGUAACUCCUAGUCGAGUACUCAACCCUCAUUUCCAACUCUGUGCAUUUUAGAGGGCUGUUUCAGCACUCCUUACUAUAAAACACUCAGUAUAAAGUAUGUAAAUUAAAUAUAUAAUAAAAAAAAACUUUCAACAACGGAUCUCUUGGCUCUC